UACGAAGGGGGCUAGCGUUGCUCGGAAUCACUGGGCGUAAAGCGCACGUAGGCGGAUUGCUAAGUCAGGGGUGAAAUCCUGGAGCUCAACUCCAGAACUGCCUUUGAUACUGGCGAUCUCGAGUCCGGGAGAGGUGAGUGGAACUGCGAGUGUAGAGGUGAAAUUCGUAGAUAUUCGCAAGAACACCAGUGGCGAAGGCGGCUCACUGGCCCGGUACUGACGCUGAGGUGCGAAAGCGUGGGGAGCAGACAGG
rnacentral:rRNA from 1 species